GAUAUAUUCUCUAAAUUAUACCUUUUUUUAAGUGUAGGCAAAUGUCAUUGGAAUACAAAAUAAAUUUAAAGAGAGUCAAAGUCAAAAGAUUUUCGAAAAUAUUUAAAUGUCAUAAAUUGUCAGGAGAAUGGACACACUACAUAUUUCUGCACUUUAGCCCAAUCUGCUUAGUUUUGUGCACUCCAAACUCCGAACCGUAUUCAGCUAAAAUAAAAAAAGUGUGAAAACUGUCAAGGAUACAGCAGAUUACAGAGUAGCCAGAAUUUAAUAUAAUACCCAGAUUACAUGUAUUCCAUACAAACGCCCUAAGACACGGAAAGAAUCAUGCAGAGCCGAUAACUAAAAGUGUGCCACCUUAUGGCAAACCAUAUUCUAUGUAAAUAAUACAAUCUUGUAUAAGAUUAUCUUUGUGAAAUGCUUACUAAGUUCACGGCAUUAACCUAAAAUACCGAAACCGACGUCAUGUUGUUUGAAAACGCACCUUCAACAUUGAAGUACGAGCAAAGACACUAGAAUAAUAAUAAUAGAAUAGAAUAAUAUUCUAGUGUCUUUGGUACCAAGACUACUUUUGUUAAUGGCUUGCUACGAGCAAACUACAAUAAGAUAACGGCAAUCAUGCCAUUGUCUGUCUGCUGUCCACUUUAAAAUCAUGGUGCUUUACAAUUUACAACUAAUGAAGUAGUCCCUACAAGUCCUUGUUAGCCCUAGAGGAAGUCCACCAUAUAUAAGGUGCAACAACAUAGAGUACACUUUACCAGUAAGUACUAAAUUUAAUGCAUUUUACGGAUACAAAAUAUCUUUCGCAAUUAGAAAACUGCAAAAUUACUAUGAAAACUAACUGACAUAAAUACAAACAUUUAAAUUCCUUUAGGAGUGUUUCAGACACAAGUUAAAGUAUAUAUAUUCAUUGUGAUUCUGCAUUCGCCGAGCCGAUCUGGCCAUGUCCGUCCAUAUGAAUGUCGAGAUCUCAGGAACAAUACUAGCUAAAAAGUUGAUGUGCAUGGAGCUUCCAGAUACAUAUGUACGUCGACGCAGAGCAUCUUUGUUUCUACAUUAUGUCAAGCCGAAAAUUUCGUAUAUUACGAGUAAGGGGUAUAAAAAGUUUUUUGAUCGCAAUGACAAGGUUUUCAAAAAAUUUCGGAUUAUCGUUAAACUCCAGUUUGAACCCUUCUAAACCAUAUUGGAAAAGUAUGCUCGCAAAAUGGAUAAUGAUUGUAGUGGUGAGGAACUCCGAAGAAUUCUGGAAUGCUAAAUGAGUCAAGGGCAGCCAUGUUAGUGGCGGAGAGAACGUAAAAUAAAGGUGAGUCCAUGGACUUUGGUCUACAUCGUUGGACCUGAAAUGCCGCAACCCGUGACCACUCAAUCAUUAUACAUGUCCGAGAAUCACAGUACAGGACCAGGACGCGUGCGUGACGCCAGACAGUUGGAAAGACGAAGAUAUGUCAUACAAACCAAUAUAACGAAUCGAUCAAAGGGGACAAAAGCCUUCCCAUAAGGAACAUACUAGAAAUUGAAUAAUGAAUAUUACAUUAAAUUAUAACUUUCUGCUGCUUAAAUUAUGUACAUUACAUUACCAAUAAUGAUCAGGAUCACGUUUCGAUGCGCUGUAGCUAUAAUAGCUAUGUUAUAUUACUUAGAGCGCUGGGAUUUACCAUGUUCGUUUUUGUGACGCCUACGUUGGCCCAGCCCACUUAUACGAUAACUCAAUUCUAACAUUUUUAGUUCCUUUUUCAAUGCUAUAUGUUGGUCAAAGCCAUUUAAACCAAAUCCAUUUGUCACUUACAAUUUUAUAAGCUUUAAUAACUUAACCAAACAAAUGGAUCAGGUUAUUUUGAAUCAAAUAUCCAUUAAGUCCCCAGCUGCAAAACUGAAAAAUAUACGCUACUUUAAACCCACCCAAAAAAGUAAA